rnacentral:lncRNA from 1 species
CAGGAAAUUUCGUCUUGUAUGUAUAAUCUACUAGAGUUAUGAAGAAGCGUGCGUCGCGUCAGUAAAUGUGCAAAAAUAGACACAAUCAAGGUACUCCAGAAUAGACAAAACAGCAGUAAUUCUGUUGAGGACUUAGGUACAGCUGCUUAACGUAUAUUUCGACGGAAAAAUCUAUUCAUUACAAUUAUGAAUAGAUCUGUAAGGGGUUUAAUUCAUUUUCGUGCCGCUGGAGCGCGUAUGAUGAAAAAUUGCAAAAUUCCAAUCAAAAUCUCGGAUAUGUAGUGAUGUUUUACGACAUAGAGAGCUUUCACUGGCAUUUGCUCAUUCGAUCUGGCAACACUUACUACAAAAUUCUACGCGUAGUACUACGAUGCGUACGAGACGAAUUCUAAGCCUCUCAUUGGUCCGUUCUGUUUUGAAGGUUCAUUCAUAAAAUUGCAUAGCACUUGCGCGUGCGCAGCACCUUGACCGCACGCGACGCGCGAAGCCACAUGGUUCUGGUUCAUGAGUAAUUUGUUAACUUAGCAAAUAGCGAUUCUUCCUCGAUUACCUUGACGUAGAUUAAUGUAAUGAUUUAAAAUAACGUGUCAAACUUAAAGCAGGAGAAACGUAUUCAACAAGAGCACCAAGAUUGGAAUAAUCUGAAUUUAAAUGUUAGCUAAACAUCUGAAGAACUGAAGGUGUCUAGUGUCGAGUUGUUAACGCUUAAUUUCCGAUAGUGUGAAAUUCAGACUUGCCAAAGAUGUUGAUCAUCGAUUAAACUUUUCAGAAUCCUGCAAUGGGCAGUGAUCAGACCUGUUACUCUGACUGUAGGAAGUUGGUAGAAAAUUUAGCGAAUGACAUUAGCAAUGGAUUGGAUGGAAUGGAAACUGAAGUAUUGCCAAAGAUAUCGCUGUUGAAGAAAAGCAUUGGUGUCUUGAUAGACCAAUCAGUAUCUGUUAGCCGGGCACAUAUUGACAAAGAUUUUCUCACUGAGUUUGCUGAUGUUGAUAUCAAAACACGCGUCCAAACCAAAAUCUUCAAUGCCCUUGAGGAAGAAAUUUCUAAAUUGAAGCUUUUAGUGAAUGAUCAGGAUAUGAAACUUAUGAAGUGCAGAUUAGCAAUGGUCCCACUGGAAGCAGUCACCUUAAGUCUAAAAGAAUCUCAUGUAAAUUUGCUCAACGCCCUGGAGAUGACAAAAGACUGUUCACAGAUUUUUACCUACCUAUGUAUAAAGCUGCAAAUUGCAACCGCGUGCAUUAAAUAUGAAGAUAUUUCCUCUUUAAAUAAGUUGACCAAUUUUCCAAAUGACAUUAGAAAUGCGAAAAAAACUAUUCUUGAAAAGAAGAAAGCUAUUGCAGAUCUCUUGCUGCUUCCUAUGAAUGAGGAAGAAAUCAAAUUAGUCACUGUUGGAAACUGAAAUGUAGCACACCUAACGGCACAACAGAGUGGAUGAACACUUUAAUUUAAUGUACUUUUUCAAGUAUCUUUCUUUCUCUUUAUUUUCGUUAGAAGAGAUGGAAGAAUCUAAAACAUAAGGGCUGAGGUGGCCUCUGUUUUGGCUAGUAUGAAACCUUGCUACUAACUUAUGCAGUUGAUUUAUGCUGUCAGUUUCUCCAUGGUGAACAUACACAAAAAUCCUUUGAUCUCUUAUCGUCAUCGAUGAAUUCUGAACUUGGAAUUUGUCAACUCUCAAUGAACAUUCCCACUUUGUAACAUUUUCGGGUUUCAAAAUUGAAACUUGCACUCAUCUAGUGAAGGAAAAGGAACUGAAUUGUUUUUCAAUGGCUAUUGGUUUCAUUUUACGGUGGGGUACACCAGCUCCUGUAGUCAUUAUUGCCUUAAUUAAAUGAGGUGAUAUAUCUGUAAGUAAAAUUAGGACCAUUGGGCGCUGCUUUGCCUCAAAUUGCAUGUGCCGCUUUCUACGAAUGAGACUGGAACCUCUAAAGGUUCCUUGACUUAUACAUUUUUUGAGUUCAAUUGCAAAAGAGAUCCAUUUUUUUUCAUAUUUGGUUUUUCAUUUUAGCUCGGUGUUGCUGGGCUUGUCUUUUUUCUGCCACCUACUUUUUCUUAUUUUUUUUCUAUUUUACACAUAAAACUAUCACAAAAUGAGAUCUAAAAGAUUCUAUCUAUAGACCCUAUAUCUUUGUGCGAUAUUGAUGGGUGUAAUGAGACAUCAGGUAGGAUAUAUCUCUGAACUCCCUCAGUACAUUCAUCCUUAUCUGAUUACUUGGUGAGUAGCCAUUUGAUCAUUUUUACUCUCCAUUUUUUUUAAUUGUUUUCAAAGUUGUAUUUAAAUGAGAUUUUUUACAUUCAAUUUAAUGUAAGAAAGUAAGAGAGAAUUUUGUUUUAUUUGCAAUAAUUUUUAUAUAUUGUCCUCAUGCAUUUUAAUUUAAAUACGCAGAACCCAUAAUAUUAUUUAUUGCAUCCUGGCUCUACUUGUGGCCAAUUAUUACCUGUGAUACUUUGAAGAACGUUACUUUUGAAAAAUAUGAAACGAAUUAAUAAAUAAUGCUCUUUAACUUAAUGAUUGUAUUUCUGUGUAUUAUUUAACUUUCCAGACACGAAUUUGAAAGGAAAAUGGAGUAAGGCUAUGCA